rnacentral:rRNA from 1 species
GCGGCUCAGGUUUUAUGGCACGGAACCGUCCAUUCUAACCCUAAACCCCCGGCGCAGCCAGACCGGUGGAGGAAGCCGCCAGCCCACCACCACAGCAGCCAUGUUGCGCCGCGCCUCCCAGCUCCUCCGCACCAUCCCCACCGCCACCGUGUUCCCCCGCCGCCUCCCGCAACCGCACCGGCACCCGCUUCCAGCCCCACCCGCCCAUCUCCUCCCCGCCCCCAGGCAACCGUCGUACUUCUACGCCACCGAGUCAGCGGCGGCGCCGGCGGCGCGGCCACCAAAGGUGCCGCGGCCACUGAGGACGGCGGGGAGCCUGCUGAGGCUGAACGACAUCCGCGAUAACCCCGGCGCGACGCAGCAGAAGACGCGCAAGGGCCGCGGGAUCGGCUCCGGGAAGGGCAAGACGGCGGGGCGCGGGCACAAGGGCCAGAAGGCGCGCGGCACCGCUCGCUUCGGCUUCGAGGGCGGCCAGACCCCGCUGCGCCGCCGUCUCCCCCGCCGCGGCUUCAAGAACCGCUUCUCACUCACGUUCCAGCCCUGUGGACUGGGGAAAAUUGCGAAGCUCAUCAAUGCUGGAAAAAUUGAUUCCUCUGAAUUGAUCACAAUGAAGACCCUGAAGGAUACAAGUGCCAUUGGGAAACAAAUAAAGGAUGGGAUUCGGUUAAUGGGUCGUGGUGCAGAAGAAAUCAAAUGGCCAAUUCAUCUCGAGGUAUCAAGGGCGACUGCAAGGGCGAAAGCUGCAGUUGAAGCAGCAGGUGGAACUGUAAGAUUGGUGUACUACAACAAGCUUGGGUUCAGGGCACUUCUCAAACCUGAGUGGUUUGCAAAGAAGGGCCGCCUUAUACCAAAAGUGGCGAGGCCUCCACCCAAGCAACGAGACAAGGUUGAUAGCAUUGGCCGACUACCUGCUCCCACAAAGCCACUUCCCUUCACAUCGGAGGAAUUAGAGUUUACUGCCAAGCGUGAAGCUGCUAAAGUGAUCGCUGCAUAGGAGGGAGUACAAAUCACUGAAGAAGCCCAUCCGAACUUUUAUUACUUACAUAAGUCCUGCACCGGGCAUUUAUAACAAUCACCUGCUCUUCCCUAUAGGUGCAUUCCUUGUGGGAUCCUUGUGUUUCCUUGUCAUUUGUGCUACGCGGGAAUGACAUUGUCUUCUUCUGGUGGCAGUAGUACCUCCUGGUAAGCACCAGGGCUGGCGGGUAAAAUAUCCUGUAACUGUCUUUUGAGAGAUCAGUUCAUUGUUUUCGUUAAUAGAAACUUUUUCUCUAGGACAAUACUUCAGGAAUGUCUGCCAAACACUAUAGGACAAAAGAUGGCUUUUGGUGUACUAAGUAUUAAGAAAAAAAAAGGAGCGUCUAUCAAAAAGGAAGAAAAAAACAAGGGAUAAUGACCCCAAUAGCCAACGAGCCUUCCCUGUUAAGGGUCAAUUUUUGUUGCCACGAGCAUUGCAAAUUUAAAACAGCAUAGUUAGCGAGCAUGACAACUAUGCUGUAGUUUUGUUUUUCAUCAUAAAAUUGCCAGUGCUUGCAAAUUUAAAUCGUCAUCUUUGCC